rnacentral:pre_miRNA from 1 species
CUGCCCGCGGCGCCCGGCCGCGGCUCAGGCGCGGCCGGUCGCCGCGGGCAACG